AUUAUUUAAAACUAUAAUAAAUAUGAGUAUGUGAGAAAGUAUAGAUGAUUGGAAGAAUAAUUUAUUUUAUUUAUUAGAAUAAAAUAUUGAUAAAAAAUGAUUUAGAGGAUGAACAAUGAUUCCAUAUAUAUGGGGAAUCACUGUUCAUCCUUUAAACAUUUUUCCUAUACAGUUUAUGGAAUUACUUGAAUUAGGGCCUUGCUUAAUGACCUUCAUCAACACGCAUCAUUCUUAGCCAGCACUCAAUUUUUGUGACAACCAAGCUACUCUCUACAUAGCAGCUAACCCAGAUCAUGAAUGCACUAAACACAUUGAGUUAGAUUGUUAUUCAGUGAGUGAAAAGCUAGAAGAAGAAUCCUUGACAACUUUACAUGUUUCUUCGGUUCAUCAAGUUGCCAAUUUAAUGACCAAGCCAUUAGGUUCUAAACUUUUUUAGUCCUUAUUAUCCAAGAUAAAUGUGCAUAAUAUAUAUACAUCAUCUUGAGGAGGACUGUUACAAAAUUAAUAUGUACAUAUGUAAUUUCUCAAUGGCUAUAGUUUUUGUACAGAUACAUACACUGAGUCAGUUUUUUUCUCUCCCUGUUUUUACAUUUAUAUAAACAUAGAUAGUCCUUGUAAAUGAUUCAUCAAAAGUAAGAACUGUUCUUUCCUUACUUCUGUUACAAUUAAUGUGAUUUAAUUGUUGAUGAAACUUUGUGCUGGCCCAGAAGAUCUCUCGGUUUGUUUUGGUUUGUAACUUUGUAUUUGCUUGGUCUUCUGUGUCAUUGCCCCGCAAGUUGUGAGUUGAUGAUCUAGAAGGUUUAGUUUGGGUUGUGAUCGGAAAAUGUCAGCUAGCUACAUGGAAAGUAUGAAAUAAAUGACUACCGAGUGCCACACUUUCUCUUACAUAGUAUUCUCUAUAUAUCUCAAUGUUGGGUACUUUGUACGGGAGUAUUGGAUAAAUUGUAGGUCAAGCAAAACACUUGUUUUGAUGGGAACUUUUUGGAGUGAUCUCAUAGAAGGGAGGAAUAUUAAACCAUGUUAAUUCCCCUUAGUAUAUAUGCAUGGGUCAUGGUGCGAUCGAUGUUUUGGUUUGGUGCUAGAUUGUGAUUAAUUACUCUAUUUUCCAACACCAAAUCGAUAGUAGAGCAUUGCAUCUUGAGGCAACCUCUGCGAUUGGUAGCAAAGAUAGUCGAUCGACAGUUCUAGUGAUGAUUUUGGACGUUGUAUCCUAAAUGUAGCAGAGAAUGUGCUUGCCCAUCUAAUAGUAUUGAGCCUCUUUUGGAUUGUGCAGACAAAGUUGAUACUGAAUGCUUAGCCUAGCUUGGUAAGGGUGAGGUAUUGUUGAUCAGAGCCUACAAUAUUACUCCGAUAGUGUAAGGGAUAAGAGUAUAAAGUAUCUAUCGUAGAAUUUUUGGUUUUCGGUGACAAUACUUCAUCUUACCAUAAUCAAGAAUAUUAAUUUGUCUGCGUGUAAGCAUUAAACCAUUACUAGUAGGCCUGCAACCCGUCCAACCUACAUUGCUUUUGGACCAAACCUAUUCGCUUACCAAGGCCAAAACCCGACCCACUCUAAAAUGACAGCAAAUUUGAACAGAAUCAUCAUCUUAUUUUCCCAAUUCUCACAAAACUUUAAUUAGGACCUCAAACUCAGAAUCUACAAAUUCCCCAGAAGGAAAACAAAAAACUAAAUUUCUCAAAUACCCAGAUUCUGGGAUUCGCAGUGAUAAUGUACCGCUUCCCAAAAGAGUUGACUCUCCAAGUCUCCAGGUGCACGUACUUGGCAUAGAACUUGGGCAGGACAGACCUAGAAACAAGCUCAAUGUCCCUGACUUUCAACCCCGCGAAGGAAAUGAAGAUAAAGGUUUGGAUUGCCAUGAACUCUGAAAUGAACAAGUAGGUAAAAUACACGAACGGAACUGAUACUAAAAGCAGUAGCGCCCUGAGAAGGCUAUUGGCUUCAAGAGCAACAAGCAAGAAGUGAGGGAAAGCACUUCAUGACACGAGAAGUGUGCCGUCUAGGUCCAAAGCCACCGUCUGGUUCGAACGUCCCUCGAUGCUACAUUUUGAGAUCAGUCCAAAAUGAUUACAGUGAGCCUUCAUUGCUAUAUAAGAGAGAGAGAGAGAGAGAGAGAGAGAGAGAGAGAGAGAGAGAGAGAGAGAGGUUUCGUUAACAAACGAAGGGGAGCGUUACUAGCUAGCAAAAUAAUUUAACAUAAUUAAUAUACAUAUAGAAAUAUUAUUGGGAGCAGUCCCUGUUUGGGAGCAACCGGCGCACACCUUACGUGGAUCUGGUAAAAGACCAAAUUGUCCCUUCAGCUUUCCCCGUUCCCUCCCUCUAUGUUUCCAUUUGAUUUUUGAGAAAGAAACAGGUCUUUGUAUUCGCUCCUCUCUCCUGAGUCUCCCCCGAACCUGUGUCGGUUCCAUCCCCCCACCAGGUAGCUCAGGCCACUCUCCCCUUCGUAUGAGCAGAUCGUCUCCCACAAACUCCCCCUCGUGUUGCUCAUCCUCAUCCUUUCGUAUUCUCCGAUCUCAGCCCUCGAAGCGAAGCACCCACCAAGCUGAACCCUCCCCACCACGACCUCUGCCCUUCCGAGGAGAUCAAUCCCCAAGCGGUCCCUAACUUCACCAACGCGAAGCCCUCAGUCCAUUCUACGCGAAGUCGUCGUCAGUCCUUCGAGACAAAGCCGCCCUCAGUCCAACGACGCGAGCUCGCCCACAGUCCACCGACGCAAGGAGGGGGGAGUCCACCUACGCGAAGACGAAAUCAGACCACCAACGCGAAUCCUUCAAAUCUCCUGGAAGGUAAACAGAUUUCUAGGGUUUCGGCAUACAUGUUUUUGUUGUCUAUUUACUUCAUUAUUUUUCUCUGUAUUUGCUAGAAAGUAAUGGUGAGGGGCUGUGGAUGUUGCCGAUGUUGCCUCUCAUGGCAUACAUUUAUCUUUUUUCUCUCUGUGACAACGAAAUAUACUUCAUUUAUCUAGAAAAUUACAGAUAACAGAGGUUGUUGUGCAAGUUUUUUUUCAGGAACAUCCAAUUCCAAACAGAAUAAACAGAGGGAAUUUAUUACUCGCCAUCCAGGUUAUGAUAUCAAGCUCCUCCAUCGCAUACGAUUUUACUUAUCAGAAAAAAGAAAAAAAGCUCCUUCAUCACAUACUGAAAAUCUUAGGGAGAAGCAAGGUGUGAAUUUUUUGUAUGGGCCGAUAUACUUCAUUUGCUAGAGGAAAACUUUCAUGCCCGUGAGAAUAAGGCGAGAACUAUUACGUGGAAUGAUGUAUUACAACACGAGUAUGCCGUUCGGAAAAGGGAAGAUAAAGUGAGAGAAUCAGCAAAGAAUCUGAAAAAGCAAAAGCGAAGACUUUUGCUUUUGUACUGGAUUCUGACAUUUGUAAUUGUGUUUAUUUGGUUCGGAUAAAUUCUAUGUGAUGUACGGUGUAUGGAUUAGAUGGGUUUUGCAUGGUUUUUUUGAAGUGCACAUGGUUUGGACCAAGACCAUGGAUGUAAAUUGUAUGGUGUUAACCUCACCGUGUAAAGAAGAACUUUUGUGCAAUUAAAUUGACUUUGUAGAGUUUAGCAAAGUGUUAUUUACUGUUUUAUUGCAGCAAACACACGGAUGUUAAUAA